rnacentral:rRNA from 1 species
GGCGGACGGGUGAGUAACGCGUGGGAAUCUACCCAGUAGUGGGGGGCAACUACCGGAAACGGUAGCUAAUACCGCAUACGCCCUAUGGGGGAAAGGCUUCGGCCGCUAUUGGAUGAGCCCGCGUCAGAUUAGCUAGUUGGUAGGGUAAAGGCCUACCAAGGCAACGAUCUGUAGCUGGUCUGAGAGGACGAACAGCCACACUGGGACUGAGACACGGCCCAGACUCCUACGGGAGGCAGCAGUGGGGAAUAUUGGACAAUGGGCGAAAGCCUGAUCCAGCAAUGCCGCGUGUGUGAAGAAGGCCUGCGGGUUGUAAAGCACUUUCAGUUGGGAAGAUGAUGACGUUACCAACAGAAGAAGCACCGGCUAAAUCCGUGCCAGCAGCCGCGGUAAUACGGAUGGUGCGAGCGUUAAUCGGAAUUACUGGGCGUAAAGCGCGC